rnacentral:lncRNA from 1 species
GUCCAGAACGUGGGCAACAUGGACACGCCGGCUUCCAGGGCCAAGGAGGCUUGGAUGGAGCCGCUGCAGCCCACCGUGCGCCAGGGCGUGGCGCAGCUGAAGGACUUCAUCACCAAGCUCGUGGACAUCGAGGAGAAGGACGAGCUGGACCUGCAGCGGACGCUGAGUUUGCAGGCGCCACCUGUGAAGGAGGGGCCACUCUUCAUCCACAGGACCAAGGGCAAGGGCCCCCUCAUGUCCUCCUCCUUCAAGAAGCUCUACUUCUCCCUCACUACCGAGGCCCUCAGCUUCGCGAAGACGCCCAGCUCCAAGUGUG